rnacentral:lncRNA from 1 species
AUGCUCCUUCUUGAAACCCAGCCACCAUGCUGUGAGGAAGCUCAAGCCACACAGAAGCCAUGGAGAGGUGCUCCUUCUGAUAACCCCUGCUAAAGUCCCACCCAGCAGCCAGCAACAAUCACUAGAUAUAACACACAGCUAGGAGGCUGCAAGGGUGAGGUCGUUAUUGAUUCAUUGAUUCAACAUGUAUUUUGGAGCCCCUGCAAUAUACCACUCUCCAUGCCAGGCCCUAAGAAGAAGACAGAUGAGGCUUUUGCACUUGUACUCCAGCAUAGCAAACAGGUGAUAAGAAAACAAACCAGUAUCCUAAACAUGUGCUUGUUACCUUAUGCAACAACAUGGCUGAUCUGACUCCACCAUUAAGUCCUAGUUCCGGGUAGGAAGAAAGCCAAGAGCAAAAGGUGUCACCUACGUGCUAGCAAAGUCUGUCCAAAAACCUGCUGGGAGGAGAUUUUACAGAAAACCCACAGAACAACUAGAGAGAGUGUCCCCAGUCACAAUUGGAGUCUUAUGUAAGAAGAAAUAAGGAAAGCCUACUGGGUUGAAUCUAAAAGUAGAAAACUCAUAACAAGGCUAUGUGUGAACAUCAAGAGAGAAUUCAAGAUGGCGGGGAUGACACUCUUUAGUCCAUGUGUGCCUGGUUUUCAUCAUCUCCUUGACUUACACACAUGUGGGUGCCUUUACCUCUGAAGACUUUUUCUCUUCUAACUGAUGAUGCUCCAUUCUCUUCUGACAAAAGCUCCCUGCCAAGGCCUGAUUGAACCUCUGCCCUGUGGUUCCUUGAAACAUCGUCAUAUUCUUGUACUAAAUUCCCCAUUUUCUUAAGCUAGCUCUGGUAAGUUUUUGCCAUUUACAGUCAAAGUGAACUCACUAAUAAAAUAUUCCCAACUGCA